AAAGUCGUAACAAGGUUUCCGUAGGUGAACCUGCGGAAGGAUCAUUAACACGUAUCCAACGUUAAAACAACCCUGUGAACUUUUAGUGUGCUCGUACGCUUUGUUAGAAAGUAGCAAUCCCUGGUAAAUCAUAGCCGAAGGUUUUCGAUUCAGGGACUUCUGCAAAGAGUGUGCUUGGAGCGCGAGGUAAGUGGCCUGGCAUCCCCAAGUAGUCAGUGAAGUGGAAGUGUCACUGGCCGCGUAAGGAUGGCGCAGUCACGAUCGCUGGAGGCCCACACGGCCGGCGACCGGGUCACUGGGCUCUGCCCCCCUAUCACCCCCGACUGCCCGCACGAAGGGACCGACGCCCAAGUGGGAGGUCGCCCAGUAAGCGAAAACGAACAACUGUUAACAAUGGAUAUCUUGGUUCUC
rnacentral:misc_RNA from 1 species